AUUGAACGCUGGCGGCAGGCCUAACACAUGCAAGUCGAACGAGUGGCGGACGGGUGAGUAAUGUCUGGGAAACUGCCCGCUGGAGGGGGAUAACUACUGGAAACGGUUGCUACUACCGAAUCCCAUUGGAUCUGCCCAGAGGGGAUUAGCUAGUAGGUGGGGUAACGGCUCACCUAGGCGACGAUGCCUAGCUGGUCUGAGAGGAUGACCAGCCACACUGGAACUGAGACACGGCCCAGACUCCUACGGGAGGCAGCAGUGGGGAAGAUUGCACAAUGGGCGCAAGCCUGAUGCAGCCAUGCCGCGUGUGUGAAGAAGGCCUGCGGGUUGUAAAGUACUGUCGGCGGGGAGGCGGUACUCGCAGAAGAAGCACCGGCUAACUACGUGCCAGCAGCCGCGGUAAUUC
rnacentral:rRNA from 1 species